ensembl:miRNA
CGGCCCCGGGUUUCUGGGAACCGGUUUGGCUGCUGUGUCAUUUUGUACCAGCCCCUCCUUUUCCCUGCUGCCCGCCG